AUGGAAGGCCGAACUCAUGUGCAAGCGCGUCCCCGCGGCGGCAAACAGAGCCUUCCAAAAGCCCAAAGUGAAAACCACAUCCCUGUCCGAAACGAUGGAUGUGGGAAACCCGUGGAGUCGGACAAUAUUGGAGAAGAAGGCCUUAGCAACGGACUCCGCAGUGUACGGAUGCGCCAAGGGGAUGAAAUGCGCAUACAUGGAGAAACGGUCCACGACGGUCAGUAUCACACUUUUGCCGCCCACCUUCGGAAGUGCCUCAAUGAAAUCCAUGGAGAUGUCUUCCCAAACACGAGAUGGCACUGUCAAGGGCUGCAAUAA
rnacentral:rRNA from 1 species